rnacentral:rRNA from 1 species
GGCCCAGACUCCUGCGCGAGGUAUCAGUGCGGAAUUUUGGACAAUGGGGGCAACCCUGAU